rnacentral:misc_RNA from 1 species
UCCAUUUUGAUUCUCUUUAAUUCUUAGACAUCGAAUUAUGUCCUUCUAAAUCCAAACCUUCCAUCUUCCCAGAAGAGAUCCUGACCCUUCAUUAGGAGCACCCGUUCUCUAUAAAUACCUGCAUGCAAUACUAUUGAGGGACGGACAAAAAAAGGUGGUGGCGAUUAUAGUGAAAAGGCUUUGAAAUUCAAUUCGGUCUUGCUACUUUAAGCUUACAUAAAAUCGAGGAACUUCAAAAACUAGUUUUCUUGAGUAUCUCCAUUGACAGAGUUUACGAACCCUGAAAUUCUUCAUUUUCAGUUUGUCCAUCACUCUGCUAUUAUCACUUUUGUUCAGUCUCAUCCGCAUCACCCCCCCAAUCUCAACCCAUUAUUUCUUUCAGCUUGAUCUUAUUCUGACCCGGUUUCCGUUACUUUGGUUCUACUACAUUUCAACUUGGUUCUCCCAAUCUCAGAGUACGCAUUGGUCCUUGUACCACUAGCUUUCAACGCAGCAAUAUUUGUGGCUCCAGAGUUAGUUCAAUAGCCUCAAUCUUUCACAGGCAAGUGUUUUAACUGCCAUUUUGUUGAAUGCCCUUGUCUAUCUUCUCCAGCUUUCCUUUUUAAAAAAUUUCUUCUAUAUUCAGUUACAUUAAAAUCCCAAAACAGUUGCAGUAAACUGUUAUUUCGUUGAAUACCCUCGGUAGGUUUUCCCCAGUUUUUUUAAGUUUUCUUUCAUAUCCAGUCACAUUAAAUUUCAGAAUAAGUUGUCUAGGCCAAUAGUCUUUUCCUGUAUCUUCUCUUAUUUUUAUUUGCAAAUCCUUUUUAUCAUCAUCUAGUUUUUAUUUUCUUCAACAGUAGACGUUCAUCCCGUAGGCAACUUAUAAAUAUUCAAAAGAGCAUAGGCAUGGGUAUUUCGAUAUGAGAGUUUUCAAAACAAAUAAAAAUGACAAAAAGAAAAGUUGUAACAAAAGGUCAAAUAGUGGGUUAAACCAAAUAAGUCUAGAGGUCGGGCCAUGGAGCGAGCCCAGAGGAUGAUGUAAUAAAUCGAGAAUCCAAUAAGUUCGGAUUCCGAGCGAACAACCAAAGAGAUCGGACUAAAGAAUUCUGAUAAGGAGAUCACAUAAAAGAUCGACAAGAAGUUCGGUGUCGUGUCUACCCUCUAGAUAAGGCUCAGUGGGUUCAAAAAUCUACAUGUGGGUCUUUUGCGCCCUCGGUCACUAGAUUCCUUAAUUCAUAAGAUUAUACAAUACGAAAUUUUAAUAAAUAAGAGAUCGGAUGAGAGUUUUUAUCCGAUUCUCAACCAAAAAUUUUAAUAAAUAUGUGGAGAUCGGAGGAGA